CGUAGGUGGCAAGCGUUGUCCGGAUUUAUUGGGCGUAAAGCGAGCGCAGGCGGUUUCUUAAGUCUGAUGUGAAAGCCUUCGGCUCAACCGAAGAAGUGCAUCGGAAACUGGGAAACUUGAGUGCAGAAGAGGACAGUGGAACUCCAUGUGUAGCGGUGAAAUGCGUAGAUAUAUGGAAGAACACCAGUGGCGAAGGCGGCUGUCUGGUCUGUAACUGACGCUGAGGCUCGAAAGCAUGGGUAGCAAACAGGAUU
rnacentral:rRNA from 1 species